rnacentral:rRNA from 1 species
UACAGAGGGGGCAAGCGUUGUUCGGAAUUACUGGGCGUAAAGGGCUCGUAGGUGGCCAACUAAGUCAGACGUGAAAUCCCUCGGCUUAACCGGGGAACUGCGUCUGAUACUGGAUGGCUUGAGAUUGGGAGAGGGAUGCGGAAUCCCAGGUGUAGCGGUGAAAUGCGUAGAUAUCUGGAGGAACACCGGUGGCGAAGGCGGCAUCCUGGACCAACACUGACACUGAGGAGCGAAAGCCAGGGGAGCAAACGGG